rnacentral:rRNA from 1 species
GACGAACGCUGGCGGCGUGCCUAAUACAUGCAAGUCGAACGCAGUUGCGAACGGGUGAGUAACACGUAGGUAACCUGCCUCAUAGCGGGGGAUAACUAUUGGAAACGAUAGCUCAUACCGCAUACUGUGAGAUGGACCUGCGUUGUAUUAGCUAGUUGGGGAGGUAAAGGCUAACCAAGGCGACGAUACAUAGCCGACCUGAGAGGGUGAUCGGCCAAAAGGGGACUGAGACACGGCCCAGACUCCUACGGGAGGCAGCAGUGGGGAAGGUUGGACAAUGGGGGAAACCAUGAUCCAGCCAUCCCGCGUGGGCGAGGAAGGCAUUCGGGUUGUAAAGCACGUUUGGCAGGAAAGCGGUACAUGCAGAAUAAGCACCGGCGAACUACGUGCUAGCAGCCGCGGUAAUAC